rnacentral:rRNA from 1 species
UUUAGGCACACUGGCGGCGUGCCUAAUCAUGCAAGUAGAACGCUGACCACUUUAGCUUGCUAGAGUGUGAUGAGUUGCGAACGGGUGAGUAACGCGUAGGUAACCUGCCUGAUAGCGGGGGAUAACUAUUGGAAACGAUAGCUAAUACCGCAUAAGAGCUUUUCUCGCAUGAGAGGAGUUUAAAAGGUGCAAUUGCAUCACUAUCAGAUGGACCUGCGUUGUAUUAGCUAGUUGGUGGGGUAACGGCUCACCAAGGCGACGAUACAUAGCCGACCUGAGAGGGUGAUCGGCCACACUGGGACUGAGACACGGCCCAGACUCCUACGGGAGGCAGCAGUAGGGAAUCUUCGGCAAUGGGGGCAACCCUGACCGAGCAACGCCGCGUGAGUGAAGAAGGUUUUCGGAUCGUAAAGCUCUGUUGUAAGAGAAGAACGGGUACGAGGGUGGAAAAUUCGUAUCGUGACGGUAUCUUACCAGAAAGGGACGGCUAACUACGUGCCAGCAGCCGCGGUAAU